GUUCUGUAACAUUUACUGGCUUAAUACAGCAAAGGAAAGUAACAGUGGUAGGAUGGAACAAACCAAUGGAAUCACCAGAGAAUUAGAAAGACAUUUUGUAAUACUGCACAAAUUAUUCAUAGCCCUGUGUCGACUGAGAUUGUUGCAUUAUUAACCAGUAAAGGCUUAAAAAUUAACCUUUUGAAAUAAUAUGGCCAGUAACAAAAGGGCAUAGUCAAUAUUAAGAUUUUAAUUGCCACU